rnacentral:lncRNA from 1 species
AUGCUGCCUCAUUUUUCCACAGAUUCUGCCUCAUUUUCCCACAGAUAUUGCCCCACUAUUCCACAGAUUUUGCCCCAUUCUCCACAAAUUCUGCCCCAUUUUCCACUGAUUCUGCCCCAUUUUUCCACAGAAUUUUCCCCAUUUUCCCACAGAUUUUGCCUCAUUUUUCCACAAAUUCUGCCCCAUUUUCCCACAGAUUCUGCCUCAUUUUUCCACAGAUUUUGCCCCAUUUUCCCACAGAUUUUGCAUCAUUUUUCCACAGAUUCUGCCCCAUUUUCCCACAGAUUUUGCCUCAUUUUUCCACAGAUUUUGCCUCAUUUUUCCCACAGAUUUUGCCCCAUUUUCCACAGAUUUGGCCCCAUUUUCUCACAAAUUCUGCCCCAUUUCCCACGGAUUCUGCCCCAUUUUCCCCCAGUUUUUGCCGUGCCCAUCUCCCCAUUUUUCCACAGAUUUUGCCCCAUUUUCCACAGAUUCUGCUCCAUUUUUCCACAGAAUUUUCCCCAUUUUCCCACAGAUUUUGCCUCAUUUUUCCACAAAUUCUGCCCCAUUUUCCCACAGAUUCUGCCUCAUUUUUCCACAGAUUUUUGCCCCAUUUUCCCACAGAUUUUGCCUCAUUUUUCCACAGAUUCUGCCUCGUUUUUCCCACAGAUUUUGCCCCAUUUUCCACAGAUUUGGCCCCAUUUUCUCACAAAUUCUGCCCCAUUUCCCACGGAUUCUGCCCCAUUUUCCCCCAGUUUUUGCCGUGCCCAUCCCCUCGUUCCCCCAUUUCCCUGGCAGGGCUGGAUCCCUCUCCAUGUGCAGUAGCAGCUCCGGGUAGGAUUGCACAGGGCUGAGCUUUGGGACAAUCCCACCGAAAUCACAGCACCUGCAAGUGGUUACUUACAAUAAUAAAUAAGUGAUAGAUUAUCAAAUAAAGCCUUGGCUUGGGAUGAGGUCAUCCUUGCCCCGUGUCCUGCGUCUCCCAGGGUUUGGGAGGGCUAAAUCCCCCUUGUAUCAGGCAAUAAAAAACUUGUCAGGAUUAAAGAAUCAAUUAGGAAUUAGCCAAAGGGGCAAAGCGUAACCCAAACAUGCUGAUAAAAUCCAGUAGGUGAUUAUGGGAACGGGUUUGAUUUCAUUGGGCUUUGGAAAGGAAUAAUUGCUCAUUACAGAGCAUGGAACAACCCAGACUGGGUUUUUUUCCAGCUUUAUAGAGGCGGAAAUUCUGGUGUUCACAGACAAAUGUGGGGACACGCCAUGAUUUAGGGCUGAAGGAGAAGUUUGGGGUUCUGAAUUUGAGAAGCAUCAUUCCCUGGUUGGAAAAAAUGUUCUUGGAAGUCAACACUUCCAAGUGUUGUGUUCCAAGUGGUUGGAUGGGGCUUGGGAUGGUGGAAGGUGUCCCUUGGUGGAACAAGAUGGUUUUAAGCUCCCUCCCAACCCAAGCCAUUCUGGGAUAUUCCACGACUGGGAUGCAGCAGGGAAGUGCCACAGCUCCAGCACUGCUCUUCCAGCACAGGAAAACAGAACAAGGCUGGUUUAGCUGUAAAAACUCCUGGAAAAGCUGCUUUUCCCAGCUGAUGGUGGCAGGGAGGGGAUGGAGCACUCCCAGGAUGGUGCAGGAAGACGAGGAGUUGGAUUUCAAGGGAAAAGAGCCCAAUCCUGGCUCUGAUCCCUGUUUAUUCCCUGUCUGGCCCAGCCGCCCACGCUCCCAAAGCUUUUGUUCAUGAAGGAGAUCCAGGGAAAGAAGAUCCCCCAGGAAUGUUGGUGUCAGCCUCAUCCCAACCUCCUCCAGCACAGCUCCAUCCUCCCACAGCAGCUCCAGGCUUGGCCUUUUUGGGAUCACUUCACCCACAGGGCAGCCCUGCUGCUUCUCAGCACGGAUAAAGGAUUUUUAGGGAGCAAAAUCUUUUAAGGAAGCGGCAUCACAUUGGGGUUGGAGUUGGAUCUGCAGGAUGAGCUCCCAGGGAGAGGCAGGACUGGGAUUUGCCAUCCUGUGUGACCCCAGGUGCUGCCCUGGGGCUGGAGCAGUUAAUUGGUUCAUUAAUCCUCAUCCCCUGGGCCAAAUCCCAGAGCCAGCUGCUGCCCUGGAGUGGGGUCUGAGCAGGAAGGGGGGAUCAGCACCCCAGAUUGUGCAUCCAGGUUUGCUCCCAAAAAAGAGUGCGAAGAGGCAAACCCCUGGGAAAUAAAAUAACUAGAAUUGUCAGUGACUUCUCUUUGAUAAUUAGUUAUUAAUAAUUAAUAGAUUGGAAUCCUGAGACACUGAGGCAGAUAUUGUUUGGCAACAAAAGCCCAGUCCCUCAAGUUUGGUGGAAUUUUUUCAUCUCUUUGCCCCUGCAGUAGAACACAGAAGCCAAGAACCAGCACCAGGCAGGCCAGAAUUUGAGUCAGAAAAUAAAAGACUGAGUCCAGGAAGAAUUUAAUUUUUCUGGGAAUGACCCAGCACACAACCCUGACCUUGAUGCCACCCUGCCCACACCUGGCUGUCACAGCUGAGCUUUUCCAGCGUGUCCCUGGUGCCCAUCCCUCUGUGUCCAGAAAGAAUUUAAUUUUUCUGGGAAUGACCCAGCACACAACCCUGGCCUUGAUGCCACCCUGCCCACACCUGGCUGUCACAGCUGAGCUUUUCCAGCGUGUCCCUGGUGCCCAUCCUCAUCUCUCCCUGCCUUUCAGAGGGAUUUCUUGUGAGGCUAAGGAUCUCCAGUGCUCUGGGCACCAACUUUGUUGGGUUAUCUUCUGAAAUGAGCAAAGCAGCUGACAGUUGCUUGAGCACCUCAGUCUCAAAAGGCCACAGGUCAUGCUAAGUUUUGGUAUAAAGUCCCAGAUAGAAGCAGAAGCUGCUCCUGUCAGGGUCCUGGGAAGAUGAUGGUGUGGCAGCUCCUGCCUUCUUCUUGGGUGUUGAUGAUGAUGAGAGAGCAAAGCAAAAGCAAAUGGCAAAUGGCAGUAGCAAAAAGCAAAAAGCACCAGCUCUCCCCAGUGCAUGCUCUUAUGUAGAAUCUUCCCACCAAGCUAAGACAGAAAUUCAGACACCACUCCUCAACCUAUUAGUGUUGUUGGAUACUGCUGGGAACCGGGGAAAAAGCAGCCUUGAAGCCUUGGGUUUCUCAGGCUGCUCAAGGACAAGGAAUUAUAUCGAUGAUUAAACACCUGCAGGGUGUGAGAGACGUGGUGUUUUGCAGAAAGCAUGUUUUCAAAGAGGUGUUGCCUUCUUUGACCAGUAACUCUUUUCUAUUUUGUUUUUCAAGUACUACCCUAUAUAUGUACAGUGUUUCUUUAAAUAAAGCUCUUCCCUCCUUUGCUUCUCCAUUGCAUGAGGAACUAUGUUGCAUUAUCCUUUUCGCUGCUCUCCUAUAGCCUAAAAUGCAACAUACUAGAAUUUUAAUUUCUUAACACGGUCAGUUAUGUUUAAACUACGCAUAGGACCUAUCUUGUUUUAUCUGAAAAAUGUAAGCAAUAUUCUCACUACAGCUCUAUUAUUUUUCAGUACUGUCUAAAACUGCAUUCCUGGAGUCUCCACUGAAAACAUUGAUAUGUUUUUCAAUCUUCACUAGAACUCACACUGCUUCUCUGGCAUUUGAACCUUUCACUUACUAAAGGCAUUAGAGCUCAUACUAAAAUUUACUGACUGGCUCAUUUAUCCUAAACCUUAAACCUACACCUCUACUUUAACAUACUUCAAUCCAUCCAAAGGCUUUCAUUCAAUCCCUGCACUCUGAUUUCUCCCUGAAGAAUUCAGAGACCCCUAACUCACUGGCUGCAACAAUCUCAGUGCCUUUGUGGCCAUCCAGCUGCUGCAGCUGUGGCUGGAGCUGCCACCUGCCCGCCGGGGGGGGGGGGGGGGGGGGGGGGGGGGGGGGGGGGGGGGGGGGGCUGGAGCU